rnacentral:rRNA from 1 species
UACGUAGGGGGCAAGCGGUGUCCGGAUUCAUUGGGCGUAAAGCGCGUGUAGGCGGCUCGAUAAGUCCGGUGUGAAACCUUGGGGCUCAACCCCAAGCCUGCACUGGAUACUGUCGAGCUCGAGUCCGGGAGGGGAGAGCGGAAUUCCUAGUGUAGCGGUGAAAUGCGCAGAUAUUAGGAAGAACACCGGUGGCGAAGGCGGCUCUCUGGAACGGUACUGACGCUGAGACGCGAAAGCGUGGGGAGCGAACAGG